AGCGGCCCGAGCGCCCCGGGCUCGCCUUCCCCGCGCCCCGCGUGCCUCGGCCUGGCUGGCUGAGGGAGCAUCCGCUCUCCACUCGUUUCCACUCACCCACGAAAAAGGGAAAACCGAAUAAAACUUGUCGAGAAAGUGGGCUUUGAAAGUGUUGAUGCCUUAGUUCGCUGGGGCCUUAACCGCGUGCCCUGCCCUGCGCUGGCAUCACUACAGAGGACCCCGGAGGUUUGGAAAAAGCUCAGAAUUGCACAGGGAAGAACGGAAUGUAAAGUCUCGACGACUCAGGCUCGGAGCCGGCUGCCGUUGCUCCCGCGACUCCAUUGUGUCCUUCCUGGACGGCGCUUUUGAGGGUCCGGAAGGCAAGUGCACGACUCCAAAAGGCGCCAGGGUUUCGGGGCUUGUGUUUUGGUUGCCCUCCCUGCACCUUGCUGUCUGCUGCGCGGUGACCUCCCGAAGACCAGGGGUCACGGCCGUUUCUGGAUCCCCAAGAUGCAGGCUCUCAGGUGGCUGGUAAAGACCAUGUGAUGGAUCAUCUACACUGCAAGAGCCAAUGAUCUCUGGGUAAAGGCUGGAGUAAAAUGAAUACCCUUGAAUUCCUAAGCAUCUAUUUUGGGCGCUUACUUACCGGUUUUUGGCGGCGUCCAAGAUUGAUGAUGCAUUGUUACUGACGCUGGACAACUGGGGGAGUGUGCCCGAGUACGACAGAGGAUGUCAACUCUGCCCUCCCUGCUGUAGUCCUUUCUCUCUCUGGGCCUCCCGUUUCUUCAUCUGUAAAAGAAGUCGACCCUGGGAGAUGUUCUCUCAAGGCCUCUAAAGUGCCUCUCUCUCUGUCUCUCAUGAAUAAAUAAAUAGAAUCGUUAAAAGAAAAAGACCUCUAAAAUGCUAGAAGCCCACCACUGUAUCAACCUUUAAAAUUAAAUUUUGGGUUCACUAUCCCUCCAGUUGCAUUUGGUAAACGCGAUGAUUACUGUUUCGUUCAACAAACAGCUCACGGUGAACUGCUAGAAAUUGUUAGGCAUUCUGAAAGGAUGAAAUAUGAACACCCCCUCUCCUGUCCAGGAUGCAGAUUCCAACAAUUGUGGGUUUUGAAUACUCUGCUCUUUCUGCCUUUAAAAAGGAGGUACAGGAUUUCUGCUGAUGAAAAAUUGGAUGUCAUUGCUAAUUAAAAGAAAUAUUUGGAAUCUGGAGAGACCGAGGAAGACUGGAAAAGGUUUUGAGAGGCCAAACAUUACUGCCCAGAGUCAAAGAAAGUGUGAAAGUACAGCCACUGUCACCGCCAGGAGGUGUCCCAGGAGGGGCACUGUUGAAAUGUGCCCGAGCCCUAAUGAACUAACUCUUCGCAGCUCCCAAGAGAGGACCAUCUAGUUGAAUCAGAUUCCUGCCUUUACUAGACAAAUAAUCAUGGGGUAUGAUUCUCAGCAUGAUUAAGUAUUUUAGUUUAGUUAUUUUUUUCCCAAGCACAAACACACAACUCCUCAAAGCUAUCAAAGAACAUUGAACACAAGAAGUAUCUGAGAAAUCAUCCCAGGCAAGAGACAUGGCAACUAAAGGUAAUGUGGUAUUCUGAGUGGGAUCCUAGAACAGAAAAAGAGUAUUACCUGAAAACUAAGGAAAUGUGAAUAAAGUGUAGACUUUUGUUAAUAAUAAUUAUCAGGGUUGGUUCAUUAAUUAUAAUUUUAUAUAUAUAUAUAUAUAUAUAUAUAUAUAUAUAUAUAUAUAUA